AUUUUGUGUCCCCCCCCCCCACAAAAAAAUUCUUAUGUUGACAUCUUAAUCCCUAACCGGAUGGCAUUAAGAGAUGGGGCUUUUGGAAGGUAAUUAGUGAGGGUGAAGCCAUCAUGAAUGGGAUUAUACCUUUAUAAAAGGGGUCCCAGAGAUUCUCUCGCUCUCUUUACCUUAUGAGGAUGUACAAGAAGAGUGCUGUAACCUGGAAGAGGGCCCUCACCAUCACUUGACAACGCUGGGACCAUGAUCCCAGCAUUGAAGGCAUGGAGACUUCCAGCCUCCAAACUGUGACAAAUAAAUUUCUGUUAUUGGCAACCCAACCAGUGUUCAGUACUUUAUUACAGCAGCUGGAUCUGACUAAGGCAGAGUUGUGUAAACCAAAUGCUUUUAGUGGUAGUUAAGUGAAUGUGCAUCGUGGGAUACUAGGAUCAAGGAAUUUGGAUAGAGAAAGUAGAACAUAUGUUCUCCUGCCAAGAUAAGCCCCAAAAGGUGACUAUGUGUGAAAUGAGAGUUCUCUCUCUCUCUCUCCCUCCCUCACUCCCUUCCUCCUUAUCUUACUCCCUUCCUCCCUAUUCACCUGCCAUUCUAGGGGCUUUUAUUGCUUGCUUCUUUGUGUCUUCUCACUCAACCUCAAGAGCAUUAAUAUUCUUGUUUUUCAAAUAAGAUGAAACUUAGAAUAAAUGACACCCAAGGUCACAGAAGACAUAUUCAGAAUGUGGAUUCCGUGCUGACCUAGCCAGCUUCAAAGCCCGCACCUAUUUAUUGUUUGCACAUGCCUUCCAUAAUUAAGAAAGAAUGUGUCGGGCCAGGGAUUUAGCUCAGUGGUUCCACUGCCUGCCUCACAAGCUCAAGGUCCGCAGUUCAAUCCCCAGUACCAAAAAAAAGAAAGAAAAGAAUAUGUCCACUAAAAGAAUUUCUUGUCAAUAUCAGCUUAGAAAAUGAAACUAAGUGUUCUGUGACAGAGAUAGCUAAGUUAAUGAGGAAACAGAUGAAAUGAGAAUAAACAGUUCUUAAAUGUAAAAACUGUCAAAAACAGGUCUAAUUGCUGAGCAGUCAAGAACAUGGUUUUGUAGUUUUGCAGGUCUGACCAGCAUGGAUUUUAAUUUUGGCUCCAUUACUUACUAGACUUUUCAUCUUUCUGAAGUUACAAAAGCUCUCUGAGCCUGUUUUCUCAUUUAUAAAGAAGUAUAUAAAGAGGGACCGGGGAUUUAGCUCAGUGGUACCACUGCCUGCCUCACAAGCACAAGGUCCCAAGUUCGAUCCCUGGUACCAAAAAAAAAAAGUAUAUAAAGAUAUAUAUAGGACUAAAUGAGGGAACAUAUACAAUUUAUUGUGAAUCUGAUGUACUUAGGCUGUUAAUUAGUAGCUUUACUUAUUUAUUAUUAUCACAACGAGGCCAAGUACUAAUUGCAACCAAGAAAAACCUUCAUGGAUGAAAAGAGUAAAAGGAGAAGUAAAUUUUCCCAGAAAGUUCAGCCGUACAGAAUUCAGGAUUCUCAUUCAUUCCUUCCUCCUCUCUCUUCUGUUCUCUCCCCAUCCUCCGACUUGCUAAACCACAUACAUCACCUCAUUUCAUCUAAACAUAGUUUUUGCCCUUCAUCCACCUAGAAUUCUUCCUGUACUCCCCCUGGCUCACACUCACUUCCUUUCUCCAAGCUUCCCUCUCUAGGCUUGCUCUCUUUUUUCAGGUAAUUUAUUGCCACUUCCUCAGAGAGACCAUGUUCAUGUCCAGGCUUACAGUGCAAAGCAGCCAUCAUGCCAUUCCAUAUCAUACCGCCCUGUUUAAGCUCUCUGUACAGCACUUAGUACCAUCUGAGGUUUUUUUCUUUACUAAGGAUAGGUUUGUGUGGCAUGGUCAAGUUCAGAAAAAUGUGCAAAUUGGAAUGCAAAUUUGGCAGUCAUGAUUCUGCAUUGCUCUGAAUGGUGGCCACUUGAAGGAUGUAGAGCUCAUAACAUGUUAAAUGAAAGUUGACACCAACACUCUGAGUGGGAGGGACACCACGGAAAGGAAAGAAAUUUUGUAGAUCUGAGAUCUGGAUACAAUCCCCACCACGAGGAGGAAGCAGUUGUGAGUUUAAUGUACUUUUGACCUUAACUGAAGUAAAAUUUAGUAAACUGGGUUGGAAAAGAAAAUAGCUUCCUUCCCCAAAAGUCAAGAACAUAGAAGAAAUCUGAAAGUUUUUAUACAAGGACAGCUGAAUAGGUUGAACUUUGCACUAGAGUUCAAGUAGACAAUGGAAUCAUUAUGGAAACCAAAAGACCAAUUAUCUAAGAGGAACUAUCCUAUUUGGGGACUGGACAUGACUUGUGAAUAAAAUAGUACUGCAUAGCAUUGGUAGUGCUAAUAGUUUUUGUUUUGUUUUUUAUGCAAAGUCAGGUGCAAGAAAUCACUUCCUUCACACAUUGCUAGUACAAGUAGGGUAACAUUCCUGGGGAGCAAUUUGCAAUGCAAAGUAAAAGCCUGUCCCUUGACUAAAAGACCAUUUAGAAAAAUUUACCAUAGAAAAUAGUCAUUAAAUUUACUGGUUUUUAGCUUAAAAAAUUGUGACAUCCAAUUUUUCACUAUUUUUGAUCAUUUCCAAAACAUCCAUCAUGAAAGAGGUGACCAAAUAAAUUAAGAUUCAUCCAAUAAUAAAUUCUUACAUAGUUACUGAAAACUCGUUUCAAGGAUUUAUUAAACUUUUCUCAAAUAUUUUUAACUACUAAAAUUCUCACAACAAAAUUUAAAAACCAGAAAACCUAACUUCAAAUGCUAUAUCAGCUUACUAAAAAUUGACACAGAUAUGUCAUUGAGUCCAAAUUAAAAACAUGAAUUGGAUUUAAAUUUUAUUCUAUAAAUCUUGAAUGCUGAUAAUUUCAGUAGUUGAUAGACAUCCACACACAUCACACCCCAUAUACACUCAAGACUAAAUAAAACUAACCCAAUUGUUAACAUAGUUAUGUCUGAGUGAAGAAAUACCAGAGAAUUUUUAUUUCUUUGCCAUCAUUAAAGUUAAGAGUAAUAAAAAUAUAUUCACUAAAAAUAGAAGUUUUUUGUUGCUGUUCUGUUUUUGCUUUUGUUUUGCAGAAAGCAACCUUCUCAACCUUAUUGCGAUUUUUGUAUUGAUUUGUUUGCUGUUUAAACCUACAGUAUUUUGCUGAGAAAGAGGAAUAGAAAAAAAUCAAAAGCUAUAUGCUUUCAGAUCUAAAUACUUACAUUUUUCUAAUUAUUCUCAUGAAAUGUAAUCUAAUUUACUUUAAUUGCAGAUUUCGGGAAGUAGAAGAUAAAGACUGUCAGGAAAUAACAUUAGAAGUGAUAACAGCAGGAGCAAUAGGACCUAGGAGUUCCCAAAAGGAACAUGAAGGAUGUCAUGCCAAAAGGGGCAAAGAGCACAGUCCUCAACUAUGGAAAUAAUUGUGGGCCAAACUGUUAAUGGAAUUUGGGGUGCUGGAGUCUCCUAGAGGUAUUUUCUAGGUCCUUUCUGUCCUAAACAAAGACAUAAAAGUUGGCGAGAUUUUAACAUUUAUUAAAGAUAGGAAAAGAAACAUACUUUACAGUGUGAGUUUGGGCCAAUUAGAACUAGAGAAAGAACAUUCUACAGGGUGAGAACAGACCACCAUUAAAGAGAGAAUGCAGUGGUCCCAAGCUCAACCAUCUGUCUCUUUGUAUCUUCCACUCCUCAGGUUAACAUCAGGUCUAGGCUGCCCUAUCAAAAACCUACUCCAGCUCUCAUGAGAAUUGAAGAUAGCACUCUGAUUGCUGCCACAAGCAGGGCUUUGGGAACUGUUCUAUGUUUGUAUCCUGUAGCUUUGUAAUUAAUAGGUCAUGCCCUUUUCCACAGCUGUUUGCUAUGCUCUAAUCUCCUGCCUCAAAACCAGUUGCCUAUACUUAUGGUUCAUUAUUCUAGUAACAGAGUUUUGUUUUGUUUUUGUUUUUUUGCAGUACCUGGGAUCGAACUCAGGACCUUGCACUUGGGAGGCAGGCAUGGUGCCACUGAGCUACAUCCCCAGCCCAGGUUUCUGCCCUUUACGUUAUCAACCAAGCUCAACUUUAAAUAUCUCUAAGAGAUUUUUGAUGUGAUGAGUCUGGAAGAAAAAACAAACCAGCCUAAGAAGCUUAAAGAAUCCUAUGAAGGGCAGAUAUGGAUAACAUUGGGUAACUCUGUGUUGUGAAGUUUCAGUGUUCUGAAAAGUACAAUUUUAAAAUGAUGAUUUUCCUGGUCUCUUUCCUUUUUUUAUUUCUAUCCUAUAAAAGAUGAGGAAACCUGAGUAGGAAGACAAGGAGUUAGGAAGAUGUUUGGAAGAAUUCGAAUUCAGAGGAAUGCAUGAGCCAGGCUUGGUGCCACUGUAAAGGUGGCCCAAGGAGCUCUUAUGCUAAUUGGCUCCAAUAGUUUUAUAAUAAAUAAAAUAGACUUUGACCUAAGGACAGCACUACUCUCGUUUGUAUGCAUGAGAUCUUGGGCUCUGUUUUGUCACUCAUUUCUCACUCAUUUCAAGUUCCUGGUUGUGGUUGCUGGAAGUUUGCCUGCCAGAUUGAGAUGGAUAACUGUAACAUAAUAAAUCGUAGUUAUGAGCAAAAAUUGUAAUAUCCACCUUGUAAUACUAUUCUCAAGAACCAGAUGUUUUCAAGAAAAACGCUUCAGUCUCCAAUCUGCCUUACAGUGCACAUCAGUGAAUCUGGCACAAUGCCCAUGAAAGCAAUUUGAUCCCAUAAACCAGGAAAGCUGAGUAAUGAGCAGGUUCUAAAUGCCUUCUUCCGAGUGGUGUAACCAUAGAAUAGAUGGCAAUCAUUAAACCAGGCUGUUUUCAAAUAGUGCUUAUAUUAUUUUUAUCUUUCUUCAAACAAAUUCUUUUGGCAAUGUUAAAGAAACUCUGUUUUUAAAAAAGCAUAAGGAUAUUUUAAGAAGGUAAUUACUACUUCCGUUUCUGCCAGAGGCAGCCUAGUUUUAUUUUUAAGAGUAAAUGAUGUAAGAACUUUAAAAAAAAAGCACUUGAAGUACAAACAAUGCUGUGAAAUAAGUAUUCAGUAG
rnacentral:lncRNA from 1 species